rnacentral:rRNA from 1 species
ACGCUCGACACCUACGGGAGCAGCAGUGGGGAAUAUUGCACAAUGGGGGAAACCCUGAUGCAGCGACGCCGCGUGAGCGAAGAAGUAUUUCGGUAUGUAAAGCUCUAUCAGCAGGGAAGAAACUGACGGUACCUGACUAAGAAGCACCGGCUAAAUACGUGCAAGCAGCCCGACGUAUCUGAGGCGGGCGUGGACGAAGGC